rnacentral:rRNA from 1 species
CCUACGGGUGGCAGCAGUGAGGAAUAUUGGUCAAUGGGCGCAAGCCUGAACCAGCCAAGUAGCGUGAGGGAUGAAGGUUCUAUGGAUUGUAAACCUCUUUUAUAAGGGAAUAAAGUGUGGGACGUGUACUGUUUUGCAUGUACCUUAUGAAUAAGGAUCGGCUAACUCCGUGCCAGCAGCCGCGGUAAUACGGAGGAUCCGAGCGUUAUCCGGAUUUAUUGGGUUUAAAGGGUGCGUAGGCGGGUUGUUAAGUCAGCUGUGAAAGUUUGUGGCUCAACCGUAGAAUUGCCGUUGAAACUGGGAGGCUUGAGUAUAUUUGAGGCAGGCGGAAUGCGUGGUGUAGCGGUGAAAUGCUUAGAUAUCACGCAGAACCCCGAUUGCGAAGGCAGCCUGCUAGGCCAUAACUGACGCUGAUGCACGAAAGCGUGGGGAUCGAACAGGAUUAGAUACCCGAGUAGUC